UACCUUUUGUAUAAUGGGUCAGCGACUUAUAUUCUGUAGCAAGGUUAACCGAAUAGGGGAGCCGAAGGGAAACCGAGUCUUAACUGGGCGUUAAGUUGCAGGGUAUAGACCCGAAACCCGGUGAUCUAGCCAUGGGCAGGUUGAAGGUUGGGUAACACUAACUGGAGGACCGAACCGACUAAUGUUGAAAAAUUAGCGGAUGACUUGUGGCUGGGGGUGAAAGGCCAAUCAAACCGGGAGAUAGCUGGUUCUCCCCGAAAGCUAUUUAGGUAGCGCCUCGUGAAUUCAUCUCCGGGGGUAGAGCACUGUUUCGGCAAGGGGGUCAUCCCGACUUACCAACCCGAUGCAAACUGCGAAUACCGGAGAAUGUUAUCACGGGAGACACACGGCGGGUGCUAACGUCCGUCGUGAAGAGGGAAACAACCCAGACCGCCAGCUAAGGUCCCAAAGUCAUGGUUAAGUGGGAAACGAUGUGGGAAGGCCCAGACAGCCAGGAUGUUGGCUUAGAAGCAGCCAUCAUUUAAAGAAAGCGUAAUAGCUCACUGGUCGAGUCGGCCUGCGCGGAAGAUGUAACGGGGCUAAACCAUGCACCGAAGCUGCGGCAGCGACGCUUAUGCGUUGUUGGGUAGGGGAGCGUUCUGUAAGCCUGCGAAGGUGUGCUGUGAGGCAUGCUGGAGGUAUCAGAAGUGCGAAUGCUGACAUAAGUAACGAUAAAGCGGGUGAAAAGCCCGCUCGCCGGAAGACCAAGGGUUCCUGUCCAACGUUAAUCGGGGCAGGGUGAGUCGACCCCUAAGGCGAGGCCGAAAGGCGUAGUCGAUGGGAAACAGGUUAAUAUUCCUGUACUUGGUGUUACUGCGAAGGGGGGACGGAGAAGGCUAUGUUGGCCGGGCGACGGUUGUCCCGGUUUAAGCGUGUAGGCUGGUUUUCCAGGCAAAUCCGGAAAAUCAAGGCUGAGGCGUGAUGACGAGGCACUACGGUGCUGAAGCAACAAAUGCCCUGCUUCCAGGAAAAGCCUCUAAGCAUCAGGUAACAUCAAAUCGUACCCCAAACCGACACAGGUGGUCAGGUAGAGAAUACCAAGGCGCUUGAGAGAACUCGGGUGAAGGAACUAGGCAAAAUGGUGCCGUAACUUCGGGAGAAGGCACGC
rnacentral:rRNA from 1 species